UGGAUAAAAGGCUUCCUCUGCUCCCAUUUCUUGGCUACUAAGGGAAGGAAUAACUUGUGUACAAGAGCUGAUUAUCCAGAGAUGUUCUGCUUAUGCAUGGAAAGUCACCAAAAUGAAACACAAAUUCAUAUCAGGAGAUUCCUCAAAUAACUAGUUACUGAAUAUAUGGAGGAUGGUAACAAAGCUGAAUGAAUUCUGCUGGGAACCUAAAAUCCCUACAGGCUAGAAGAGAAAAUGUAUCUUCCUCAAAAAAAAGAAACAAUCAUCAAAUGAAAACCAAAUAUUGAGAGAUGCGCACAGAUUUUGGGACAACCUGUUGAUUGUUUAUAAUUUAGAUAACCUUACAAUGGCAACAAAAUAUUAAAUACUCUUGGAGCUGUA